UGGGGCUUCUUUGGCCAAAUGGAGUGGGU
rnacentral:piRNA from 1 species